rnacentral:rRNA from 1 species
AAAAUUAGAGUGUUCAAAGCAGGCAGAUCCAAUUUUCUGCCACCGAAUACAUUAGCAUGGGAUAAUGGAAUAGGACCCUGUCCUCCUAUUUUCAGUUGGUUUUGGCAGCGCGAGGACUAGGGUAAUGAUUAAUAGGGAUAGUUGGGGGCAUUAAUAUUUAAUUGUCAGAGGUGAAAUUCUUGGAUUUAUGAAAGAUUAACUUCUGCGAAAGCAUCUGCCAAGGAUGUUUUCAUUAAUCAAGAACGAAAGUUAGGGGAUCGAAGACGAUCAGAUACCGUCGUAGUCUUAACCAUAAACGAUGCCGACCAGCGAUUAGGAGACGUUGAAUACAAAACACCACCAUCGGCGCGGUCGUCCUUGGCGUCGGUCCUUCACGGGGCCGGCGCGAGGGCGGCUAGCCCAG